rfam:Pteropus alecto contig110919, whole genome shotgun sequence.
GGUUCCAUAGAGUAGUGUUUAGCAUGUCUGCUUUACACGCAGAAGGUCUUGGGUUCAAGCCCCAGUGGAACUA